UCAGGACGAACGCUGGCGGCGUGCCUAACACAUGCAAGUCGAACGGAGAAUAACGAUAAGUUUACUUAGAGAAAUUUUUAGUGGCGGACGGGUGAGUAACGCGUGGGUAACCUACCCAUAAAGUCGGGACAACCCUUGGAAACGAGGGCUAAUACCGAAUAAUCUUAGUUCGUGGCAUCACGAAUUAAGAAAAGGUGGCCUCUGAAAAUGCUACCGAUUAUGGAUGGACCCGCGUCUGAUUAGCUAGUUGGUGGGGUAAAGGCCUACCAAGGCGACGAUCAGUAGCCGGCCUGAGAGGGUGAACGGCCACACUGGGACUGAGACACGGCCCAGACUCCUACGGGAGGCAGCAGUGGGGAAUCUUCCGCAAUGGACGAAAGUCUGACGGAGCAACGCCGCGUGUAUGAUGAAGGUCUUCGGAUUGUAAAGUACUGUCUUUGGGGAAGAACGAUUGUCUUGAAAAUAUUGAGACAAUAUG
rnacentral:rRNA from 1 species